rnacentral:rRNA from 1 species
GACGAACGCUGGCGGCGUGCUUAACACAUGCAAGUCGAACGGAAAGGCCCUGCUUUUGUGGGGUGCUCGAGUGGCGAACGGGUGAGUAACACGUGAGUAACCUGCCCUUGACUUUGGGAUAACUUCAGGAAACUGGGGCUAAUACCGGAUAGGAGCUCCUGCUGCAUGGUGGGGGUUGGAAAGUUUCGGCGGUUGGGGAUGGACUCGCGGCUUAUCAGCUUGUUGGUGGGGUAGUGGCUUACCAAGGCUUUGACGGGUAGCCGGCCUGAGAGGGUGACCGGCCACAUUGGGACUGGGAUACGGCCCAGACUCCUACGGGAGGCGGCAGUGGGGAAUAUUGCACAAUGGGCGGAAGCCUGAUGCAGCAACGCCGCGUGCGGGAUGACGGCCUUCGGGUUGUAAACCGCUUUCGCCUGUGACGAAGCGUGAGUGACGGUAAUGGGUAAAGAAGCACCGGCUAACUACGUG